rnacentral:lncRNA from 1 species
GUUAUCUACGCAUCUUCUCUUCAUCACAAAAUCUCUUCCAGCAUUUCAUAUGAUGGUUCCAUUCUAAGUUAAUGGUGUCAGGGUUCUUCUCGAUGUAUGAAUUGACAGAUCCGACAUCGAUGUUCUCGUACGAUUUCUUAGCUAUUUCAGCUUGUUGACAUUUAAGUUUGGCCCAUUUUGACCUACACUCAAGAAAUUUCUUA